rnacentral:lncRNA from 1 species
CGCGCGCGGAGGCCCUGCGGGGCCCGGGCUCCGGAGGAAGGGCGGGCUCGGCGGCGCCCCCCUGGCGACAGAGCGAGGAAGGGCGGCGGGGGCCGGCGCCGCGCAGAGGACGCCGCUGCGUCCCGGGGCUCACCGCGGGCGGGAGUUUGAGGACUGAAGCGGAGAAAUGCGGUCCCGGUUCGAGACGCUGUGCCACGCGGAACCUGAAUGUGCGUGUCUUCGCGGCUUCAGCUCCGAGGACGGCCGGGGGAACCACCGCGUCCCCUCCGGACCUUCCGCGCGAGCUUCUGCCGUCGCGCGCGGGCGCCCGCUGUGGAUUUUUCUGGCUGGCCUUGGCCACUCGGGGCUCCCAGCCGCGGGCAAAGCUGAGGUGCGACCUGGACGGAACAAGGGUCCCGGAGCCGUGAGCGCCGAGGGGGAAGGCCGGAGGAGAGCGGCCCCGGCCGGAGCGCGCGCUGUAGCCAGCUUUCCGCCGGGCGAGGCCGCUGCGGAAGGAACCUGCAAAUACGGCCGCGCCUUCGGUUCAGCGGGCUGCCUGGAACCCAGGACCGAGUGUAAAGGAAAUCGAAGGCUAAGCUCAUCACGUAUAUUUUUAGAAGAAUCUCUCCUCUCCACCUCCUCCACCAGUAGAUGUACGCCGGAAAACGCUUCACCUCCAGCCCAGCAGCGAGAAGAGAAGACCAGAAGUGUGGGGGUCCGGGAUAUCCGCUUUCGGGCCUCGCCCCCAGCGACCUCACUUCCGCCCAGCAGGCCCCUCCCCUCGAAGACUCCCCCACCUCCACUUGAGCCGCAGGCUGCGGACCGAGCCCCUAGCACGUCGGCCGGGUAGGGGGGAUAUUGAGGAGGCCACCCUGACGGCAGCCGCCCCAAACGCUGUCUUUCUGGCCUCAGGGUGACCUUGAGCGGUCCUGUUGCGGUACGCAGGCCGGGAGAGGCCCGAGGACGUGUGGCAGGGUACCAGGGUCCCCUCGCCCAGGCCUGGUGACGACUCCCACGUCCAGGUGGCGUGGCCACCACCUCCCAGAGCGGACCCUGGGAAGAGACCCGGCUAAGGCGUAAACGGGCACGGUGUCAACGUAUUCCCUGUAGCUGGGCGCUCCCCUCCUACCCACGGUUGGAUGACCACGGGGCCCGCGAAACCCCCGCUCUGCGGGUGGACCCCAAGUGAGCAGGUGGGCGAGGGGAGUCGUCGCCUCCACGGGUCCCGCCCCUCCAGCCCGCGGACCGCGGCCCUCACCGCCCGGGCUCUGCACAUUCAAUGCCGCUGAGUUUCGGGUUCAGGAAGCGGUUUCAGGGGCGCCGGGCCUUCGCGGUCGUCCCAGCCGGCCCUGGACGCUCAGCGCCCCUAUCUUUGAGUCCACGUGGCCAAUCUCCCCCGCCGCUGGCCGCGUGGCCUAAUGGAUAAGGCGUCUGAUUCCGGAUCAGGAGAUUGAGGGUUCGAGUCCCUUCGUGGUCGACGUUUUUCCUUCCUGUGCUACUAGGCGGAAGGAGAUUAAACUGAACGACGGUUAAGUCCGGUGUGUGUGACGUUUGCCUUCUUACUGCUGCCCGGGGGAGGGGGCGUCACUAAGGAUCUGACUUCCGGGCCGCACGGGGGAAGUCAAGUCAUUGCAGGGGGCGGGGCACUACAAUUGGUUCCGAGUCCCUGCAAAAUAAUAAGGAGCUGAGAUGAGAAGGAAGAGAGCGGAGGGUGCCCCCCGUGCGCGGUGUGCCUGGCCCGCGGGAGGCCCCGUCUGCCCUCGGCACCGACGUGAGCAUGAUAACGACCUCUGACUUUGCCGCAGCACAGGUCGACAUCCGCUGACGGCGCACACGGUGCCUGCGUCACACCACCACGAGCCUUAUCAAUAUUCCCAUUUCACGGAGGCAGAAACCGAGACCUAAAAAGCCCUUGCUCAACUCCAGUCUACUUCCUGUCUCUGCAUGUGUGCCUGUUCUACACAUUUCACGUAAAUGGAAUUAUUCGGCGGGAGUGUAGCUCAGCGGCAGGGUGAGUGCUUACCAUGUGUGAGGCUGGGGUUAGAUAUCCAACACCUCCAAGAAUACUCAAAAGAAUACCUGUCCACAGCAUCAAUCAAGAUUGCAAUAAAGUUUCUGAGUCACAUGGCAAGUCUGGUGUUGAUCACUCCACAGUCCUUUCACCUUCCUGUGAGGUUCACAACAGUUUUCCCAGUUCUGUGGUCAUCAGUGAUUCCAAACUUGCCAAUUUAACUGUGCUUCAUCACCAUAGUUAGAAAUAACACAAUGGAUCUGGAACACAGCCUAAAAAUCUGGCACAUUUUUCUGACAUUGUUGCUGUCCUUGGAACCAUAAGCCAGCAACCCCCUCCCCCGGAAUAGUCCCAGCAGCAUGGAAG